UUGACCAUUAUUUGACCUCAAUUUUGAAGAACCUUUUCACUAACCAGACUCUGGAAAGAUGAUGAGUUUCAGAGGCGUCAGAUAAACGCCGUGAUGAAAAGUCUAUAGUUUCUACAUACCUUAUUCUUACAUACGUAUGUAUAAUAUAUAGGUAAAAGGUAGGUGGAUCGUCGUCCGUGGGUUCACGCGAAGAGAAAUAUCCCCCAUACAAGCGAGGCAAGAAGAGAGGAGGCAAGAAGAGAAAAGAAAAGUGGAGAGAAUGGGCGGUGAGGGAAAAGCCCUGCGGAGAGUAUAAACCCAAGAAGAACAGGUUAACCUCCCAAGAGACUUGAAUGGCAAAAGUUUUCUCGGUCGGUAGUAAAGUAAGUCGUACGUACGUGUGUACGUGCGGCGGACUUGGAUAUCAACCGCCCACCACCCGCGAUUCGAUAUUUGUACAAUAUAACAAUUUGCGUUUUUCGUACCACGUGAGAUUCAAAAAUAGAUUCCGUAUAAUUGUGUAAAAUCGCAUCGCGAGUACAACUGUGAAAAUUUUUGGGCAAGUUUACAGCGGUCUACACGUAUGUAUGUGUACACGAUACGACGCAGAUAGAAAUUCCUUCUGGCUCGGAAUAGACCAUAUAUAAAUGUGCGGGAGGGUUGAUUGCACUUGUGUAUACAUUUGCGCAGCAGCGAAACUAGAAUUUCUAGUUAUACGCGUACGCUGCCGCGUUUAUGAUAAAGUUUCACGAAUAAAAGCGCGCCGGCAGUUUUCACAAUUAUUGAGUCGCAAUAGAUAUGCAUAUACAGGGGUAAAUCUUUUGAAUUUAGAUUUUCAGAGCUGCGAGCUACGCAGAUACCGUAACCGUGAAGAACGUAUAUAUUCUGGCACUCUGCGGUACGCGUUAGGUACGUACGUAGGCAGCUGGCGGUUUGGUAUAGACAGCGGCAGCAUCCGAGCUACAAGUUCAACAAUCUUUGGUCUUCGGUUUCAAGCCAACACGUGUUAACGACGAAAUAUAAUACCUGCGCUACACCUAGUGCCUUCGUCUAAGCAGUAAGUAGUUUCUUUGUUGCUCGGACGAGAGACGUGGCAAGGCCAGCCUGCGACGCUCGUGGGACCGGUCACCCAGGUCUGCAACGAAUUCCCCCCCACCCCCCCCCAUCGCGGGGCUCUUAUAUUUCCCAUCCAAGUAAACCAGAGCUCGCAGGGAUCAAACUCGUUGGCAAAAAAAUCGUACAGGGCAACCUCGCAAAAUUUCAACGAUAGCUGUACCAGAUUUUUCCGAGUAUUUAACUCACUCGCGUACGAUAGCCCGAAGGGUAUACACCGGUGCCUGAUUUAUUUUCUGUACCAUGAAACGACUGACGACGAGCGUUCUUAAAAGAAAAAAAAUUUCAAGAUCUCCGAAAAUCCAAAAUGGGAAGAAGAAAAUCCGGAAAUUAUUUUGCAUAAAAGAAAAAUUCCGUACAGUAGUUGCGAAGCUUGCAGGGGAAACCGGAGUUUUGAUUUCUUCGGAUGCUCCUUUGUGCGCCCGCCACUAAAUGAGAUCAAAGCACCGAGUCGUAAGUUUUUUUUAUUUUUUGUUUUUUUAAAUUUAGAUCUAUCCAACACA